GAUGAACGCUAGCUACAGGCUUAACACAUGCAAGUCGAGGGGAAACGAUAUUGGAAGCUUGCUUCCGAUAGGCGUCGACCGGCGCACGGGUGAGUAACGCGUAUCCAACCUGCCCACCACUUGGGGAUAACCUUGCGAAAGUAAGACUAAUACCCAAUGAUAUCUCUAGAAGACAUCUGAAGGAGAUUAAAGAUUUAUCGGUGAUGGAUGGGGAUGCGUUUGAUUAGCUUGUUGGCGGGGUAACGGCCCACCAAGGCGACGAUCAGUAGGGGUUCUGAGAGGAAGGUCCCCCACAUUGGAACUGAGACACGGUCCAAACUCCUACGGGAGGCAGCAGUGAGGAAAAUUGGUCAAUGGGCGAGAGCCUGAACCAGCCAAGUAGCGUGCAGGAUGACGGCCCUAUGGGUUGUAAACUGCUUUUAUAAGGGAAUAAAGUGAGUCUCGUGAGACUUUUUGCAUGUACCUUAUGAAUAAGGACCGGCUAAUUCCGUGCCAGCAGCCGCCGUAA
rnacentral:rRNA from 1 species